rnacentral:lncRNA from 1 species
AAAUGAGGCUGUCCAUUUUAAGGACUAGAAGGAAGUCUGAAGUCCCUCUGGACCCGCAACCUCACAUGUUUUAAGCUCCCCUGUGCCUCUUGUGUCCUCACAGCUAUCUCCAGACUGCACCAAUUGCAAUGGGAAUUUAAAUGCUGUCAUCCAGAUUUCUGUCUUAAUCUCUGGACGCAGGGAUGUCUCUGUCCAAGUCAUAUGGGGGCUUGUCAGGUAAGGCUAGGAGCAGUUCUCCACUUCACAGCUGGGCUGGCAGUGGG